UGUUCGCGUUUACGCAAUUUCUACCAGGAAUCAAUACAUAGGCCUAGUUGCUGUAUUUUGAGGAAUUCUACACAACAAAUUAAGCAAGCAAAGAAAGAGAUGGAGAGAAAGAGCAUGAGGACAUUGACAGGGCAGGGAGAGCAGGUGAAAUGGAGUGCGUUCAGAGUAAAGAGAGAGAUGGAGAGAGAGAUGAGCAUGAGAAUGCCCACAAGCCAGGGAGAUCAGGUGAUAUGGAGAUAAUACAAUCUGAGAGAGAUUGAGAGAGAGAGCAGACAGGCAAACAAAGAUGAAGGUGCAGGAGAGGACCUUGGACCUUGCCCAAAUCAGCCAAAUGUGAAAGUCAUACCUAGUCAAACCCUAUCAAAUAGGACACUUUACUUUCAGGAGAAAUGGUUUAAAGAUUAUACUUGGCUCCAUUACAGCCCUUCCAUAAAGGGGGUCCUCUGUUUCUAUUGUGCUAAAUACUUUGCAAUGCAAAAGUCUAAGCUUGCUUCAAAAGCAGAUUCAACUUUUGUCAGGACUGGCUUUCAAAAUUGGAAGAAGGCACUGGAGAAAUUUAGUGCUCACAAAGACAGCCAGUGUCACAAAUUAGCUGUGAUAACUCGGAUUCAAGAGCCAAAGCCUGUUAAUGUCCAACUUUCACGUGAGCUUGAAAGACAGUAGCAACAAGCAAGGAGAAAUCUUAUGAAGAUUGUUGGGGGUGUGAAGUACUUGGCACGACAAGGUCAGGUUUUUUGAGGUGCUGAUAAGGAGAAUGGGAAUUUCAACCAGCUUCUAAAGUACAAGGCAGAGAGUGAUGCAGAGCUGACCACUUGGCUAAAAGGUCACUUAGAUUUCACCAGUCCCCAAAUGCAAAAUGAAAUUUUGAUGCUGGUGGGCAAUACAAUCAUCAAAGAAAUAGUGUCAGAAAUAACAUCAAUGCCAGUGGUGCAGUUUGCACUUAUCAUAGAUGGCACUCAAGAUAUAUCAGGAGUUGAGCAGGAGUCAAUAUGUUUGCGCUUUGUAGAUGCAGAUCUACAGCCAAAGGAAGAAUUCCUGGGACUCUACGAAGUGUCAUCAACCACAGGGAAAAAUAUAGCCAAGAUGGCAUGUGAUGUGAUGAUGCGUCUAGGUCUUCCUCUCUCCCAAAUUCGAGGACAAACCUAUGAUGGUGCUGCAAACAUGGCUGGACGAUUGCAGGGGGUGCAAGCCAUUUUAAGGAAUGAACAACCGCUGGCUAUGUAUUGUCACUGUGGUCCACAUCGCGUGAACUUAGUUACGCAGGCUGCCUGUGAAGCCUCUCAACUAGUAAGAGAUUCAAUGAGUCUGGUACAUGAAUUGGGGGGGUUCUUUAAUCAGUCUCAGGUGAUUUUCCAAGAAGUUGCAAAAUCAAAGCAUGGUUUCACCUCGUUGAAACCUCUCUGUCCCACCAGGUGGACUGUUCGCACCCCUGCUAUCCGCUCAGUUCUCAGUCAGUAUGAGUCAAUAGUGACAGCCCUUGAAGAAAUGGCCUCAAGCAACUCAUCUGACACUUCAACUAAGGCUAAUGGUCUUCAUGGAGCAUUUAUAAAAGGGAACACUGUGCUUGGCCUUGUAAUGGCUGAAGACCUGAUGGCGGAUUUGGAGUGCCUGAACACCUCCCUGCAGCUUAGAAAACAGACCAUUUCAGGCAUGUUGGAGGCUGUGGAACAUGUCAAAAGAAGCAUGCAGGACAAGUGAACAGAAGAGCACUUUGAUGUCUUACAUGCAAGAGCAACUGCUAUGGCAACAACUUUGGACCUACAACCUAUUCAGAUGCCUCAUAUUCGCAAACCUACAAAGCGUUACAUCGGUCAGGCUACUGCCCAUAUCCAUCCGGAUGCCCAGUCUUUGUACAGAGCUCAAUUCUACAACGCCUUGGACACAGUGAAUACUCAAUUCAUAGAGAGGUUUGAUCAAGCUGGAUUCCACAAGCUGCAGCAGCUUGAAAAUGUGCUGCUACACGGACACAUGGACAAGGUAGUAGAUGAGUAUCCUGAAUUGAAUUCAAGACUACUGCAGGUGUAGUUGGCCAUGUUAGGGGCCAAUUACACAUAUCAAACAAGCUUAGAUGUUGCUAGCAUUAUUCGAGAAAUGGUCCCAGAGGUGAGAGGUCUCUUCAGUCAGGUGGAAGCUUUAGUAAGGCUUCUGCUGGUCGUCCCUGCCUCCUCUGCAGAGGCUGAAAGGAGUUUUAGUGCCCUGAGGAGGCUUAAAACAUGGCUUAGAUCAUCUACGAGUCAAACAAGGCUGAAUAAUCUAGCCAUGUGUCACGUGCACCAGGAGAAACUGGACAGACUGGACCUUGAAGAAAUAUGUCAGUCUUUUAUCCGAGCCAAUGAUAAGUGCAAAAAGGUCUUUGGAUCCUUGGCUUGAAGAAUGACAAGUCAAAACACGUCAUUCUCUGGAGAGGAGAGGAAAAAAGAGCAGCGGAAAGGAGAUUACUAGCGAUGAAAAUAUAGGACCAGAGGAGAGGAGGAGGACUGGCGAUUAGAGGAUAUGAAGAAAGUAGAGCAGAGCAAAUGCCCCUAUUGCCCACCCAAGUUUUCUUGUAAAUUUGUUAAUAAAACAUCAAUUUUCGAAACCUUAGACACAAUAUUUGGACUUCUAAUCACAAUGCAUACAUUUCUGUUUAAAUGAUUAUAGUGGUACUUUCUUAAUCCCUAAUUUCUGCCAUUACAUACAAUGAAACAAGAAAAGGUACAUAAUAAAAAAAACUGCUAUGUAAUAACUACACAAUUUAAAAAAAUACAUUACAAAUUAAUCCCAUGUGUAAAUUAAUAAAAAAAAAUAAAAAAUCUGGGGGGGACCCUCAGACUCCCUAGCAAAUUUCGUCCCCCCCAAUGUUGACUCCAUGGCUACGGCCUUGCUCUUUUUAAUAAGCCAACAGCUUUUCGAUACACCCAACCGCGGAAAAUGGGUGACGCUUUUAGCCAUGAUUAAGGAAUGAGAUGUUUGAUGAGCAGAUGCACAUGAGCAGGUGUUCACAUCAGGGCCACUUUUCAGCCCGGGAAUUUCAGACCCAUGACCGGCCUACUUUUAUUUUUUGAAUCAUAUAUUGGGUGAUACAAAAAGGCUGAUAUUUUAAUUACAUUUAAUAUUUUGCUUUCAGGGCCAAGACCGGACCACUUUUUUUGUAUUACAAUAGGCUAGCAAAUAUUUUAAUUAAAUUUAAUAUUUUGCUUGCGAAUAGGUUGGCAACGCUACAACGAUAUUAGUCAAAUAAUUACGUUGCUAAUGCUAAUCAUUAGGCCUCUCUCAACACCAGCUGCCACUUGUGUGGACCCAACCAACUCUAUUUGGGAGGGGAAACUCUCUCACAUGGUACAACCCAUGCAGAGGCUGCGGUGUCAGAAUGCGGAACGUGUGUAGCCUACUUUAAGAAAAGAUAGACUAACGUGACAAAUGUCAACAACAAAAAAUCCUUGACCGGCCAAAGAGUGAAGCGGCCAACCGGUAAUUCUCCCGAUUACCCACUCCGGGCCUGGUUCACAUGUCACAUGGGCCUACUUUUGACCAUAUUGUAUUUAUUGUGUCCAACUAACUGGUUGACAAAACAUUGUCGGACAAUUGUAUUUAUAUGCUUUGGAUUUGUCCAGAAAUAUACAUAAAUACUGACCCCCCACCUCCUACA